rnacentral:rRNA from 1 species
CCUACGGGAGGCAGCAGUGGGGAAUAUUGGACAAUGGGCGCAAGCCUGAUCCAGCCAUACCGCGUGGGUGAAGAAGGCCUUCGGGUUGUAAAGCCCUUUUGUUGGGAAAGAAAUCCAGCCGGCUAAUACCUGGUUGGGAUGACGGUACCCAAAGAAUAAGCACCGGCUAACUUCGUGCCAGCAGCCGCGGUAAUACGAAGGGUGCAAGCGUUACUCGGAAUUACUGGGCGUAAAGCGUGCGUAGGUGGUUGUUUAAGUCUGUUGUGAAAGCCCUGGGCUCAACCUGGGAACUGCAGUGGAAACUGGACAACUAGAGUGUGGUAGAGGGUAGCGGAAUUCCCGGUGUAGCAGUGAAAUGCGUAGAGAUCGGGAGGAACAUCCAUGGCGAAGGCAGCUACCUGGACCAACACUGACACUGAGGCACGAAAGCGUGGGGAGCAAACAGGAUUAGAUACCCUGGUAGUCCACGCCCUUAAACGAUAGCGACUAGAGUGUUGGUGUCGUAUUAGUCGACGCGAGUAUACGAGACGUAACGUACGUUAACGUUACGUCCGCCGUCGGGUAGGUACGGUCGCGAGACGUAGAACGACGAAGAAGUAGACGGCGUGAGACGUGCCGACGGACGACGACGAGGGAGGAGG